rnacentral:rRNA from 1 species
AGCGCAGGCGGUUUGAUAAGUCUGAAGUUAAAGGCUGUGGCUUAACCAUAGUUCGCUUUGGAAACUGUCAAACUUGAGUGCAGAAGGGGAGAGCGGAAUUCCAUGUGUAGCGGUGAAAUGCGUAGAUAUAUGGAGGAACACCGGUGGCGAAAGCGGCUCUCUGGUCUGUAACUGACGCUGAGGCUCGAAAGCGUGGGGAGCGAACAG